UGAAAUUUCACAUGUGAAUUUGGAACAUGUGAUUUUUCACAUGUGAAAUUUCACAUGUGAAAUUAUGUUCACAUGUUCCAAAUUCACAUGUGAAACUUCA
rnacentral:miRNA from 1 species